GACGAACGCUGGCGGCGUGCUUAACACAUGCCAGUCGAACGGAAAGGCCCUGCUUUUGUGGGGUGCUCGAGUGGCGAACGGGUGAGUAACACGUGAGUAACCUGCCCUUGACUUUGGGAUAACUUCAGGAAACUGGGGCUAAUACCGGAUAGGAGCUCCUGCUGCAUGGUGGGGGUUGGAAAGUUUCGGCGGUUGGGGAUGGACUCGCGGCUUAUCAGCUUGUUGGUGGGGUAGUGGCUUACCAAGGCUUUGACGGGUAGCCGGCCUGAGAGGGUGAACGGGGACAAUGGGACUGAGAGACGGACCAGACUCCUACGGGAGGCAGCAGGGGGGAAUAUUGCACAAUGGGAGGAAGCCUGAGGCAGCAACGCCGGGGGCGGGAAGACGGCCUUCGGGGUGUAAACCGCUUUCGCCUGUGACGAAGCGUGAGUGACGGUAAUGGGUAAAGAAGCACCGGCUAACUACGUG
rnacentral:rRNA from 1 species